GCUUGGAUAGCUCAGUCGGUAAAGCAUCAGACUUCUAAUCUGAUGGUCCAUGGUUCAAGUCCCUGCUCAUGUG